GCCUUCGUGGUGCAGUGGCCAACACGCUCGACGGGUAACCGAGAGGUCCGUGGUUCGAUUCCCGGCGAAGGCG
rnacentral:tRNA from 1 species